UGCUGGAAACGCUUCCUCUCGGUGGGGGCGGAGACCAGGGGCGCCCUGUCUCCCCCUUCCCGGGUAUGAAUCAGGAAGAGAAAAGAAAGGCGAGGCUGAUCAGCUGCUACCCCGCCGGAGGGUUAAUUUUAUUGGGCAGCUCCCAGCACUCGGGGAGAACAAAGAGUUGCUUUGGGGCAUGUCAAGAGCGCUUUUCCAUUUAGGGAAAGUGACUCUCUAGCUCUGGGAGAUUUUUUUUUUCCCCCCUUAAAUCUUCUGCGGUGGUUUCACCUCCCAAGCCCUCCUUGCCUCAGGAAAAGAGAUCAUAAAAGGCUUUAUGUUGCCUUGCUUUAGCUGCUUUGAAAAAGUUCAGCAGGGUCAGGAUGGGUUAAUAUUUCUAAAGCAGGCCUCCGGGAAAUCCCAGGACUUCUGGAUUUCCAAGAGGCUCUUAGGAAUCCCAGGACGUGUCAAAGAUGAGAGUUAAGAUGCUACUCGAUUAGAACCAAAAAGAUCCACGAUUGAAUCAACUCCCUGCCAUGGUGGUACCACUACCUGAUUUGGAACCAGUCAUUCUCUCUGCAUCAUAAUAAGAACAUUUCUAAGAGUGGUGGAUGUAGGAAAUUAACAUACACAUAUUGUGAUCAAUUGUGGUCAGUUGAGGAUCCCCUGUAUAAUAAUGUUCAACUAUGAAGAUCAAUAGCGGAGUUGAACUGCUGUAACUCUUAAUCCAACUUUUCCAAAUCCCAACUUUGGAAGGAUUUACCUCUUAGAAACAAUGUGUUAAAUCUGCAUUACUUUGUAAAAACUGUUAUUUUGUCCCCCAUACCCAAAGCAGUAUAUCAAUUAUGUAUGUACAUUAAACAUAUAACCUGAGGAUGGGGUAACUUUGGCCCAAAGACAUGCUUAACUAUAUUCCCCCAAAAUUUAUUUACCAUUCCAAUCAUCUACUCUGGAGCUCACAAUCCUAAAUUUGGGCAGCUGAGAACCAUAUCAGUUACAGGGGGUUGAACUAAAGCAAUGUUUCUUCUUUUUUUUUAAUUGUAGUGUGUCUAUUUUAGGACCUACCAUAGUAUUCAUUUGUUCUGUAACUAAAAAUAACAGAAAACUGCAGAAAUGAACAGACCCUGUCCCAAAAAACAGAUUUGAUAACCUCAGUUGAGGUGCGCAGUAAGUUGUUGGGUUGUUAAGAUUAUUGCACAAGAUUAUUGCACAAGGCAUAAACUAUAUAUGAAAAUUAAAUCUAAGCCAACUCUGAUCUUUAAACCUUUUGCUUCCUUUUAAACUGCUACGUAAGAAAGAGAUUCAACUAUUGGCCCUCCUCGUCUUUUCCCAGCAAAGUUAGAAAUUGAGGACAGGAUCUCCAUUUGAUCAUCCAUCCCACUGGCUACAUUCACAAGCAAAUCCUUCAUUACAGUUAUUGUUGUGGUCCGCCAGCAGCCUGUGAAGCUGACAGCGGAGUCGGACAGCGAUGAGGCAGAGGAAGAACAUGGGCCAGUCCUGGAGGCUGAGGAAGGCCCGGAUGAGGGCUCUGCGUCAGAGACAGAGAUAGGGCCAGGGCCAUCAGGGAGUGAGGUGCCGACUCCAGAGCCUGAUAGGAGUGAGGCAGAGGAACAGGAGGAGCCUAUUCCUAAUGCACGCAUGAGAAGACCUGCCAGAAGGCAAGAACAGCUCAAACAAAGAGGACAACUCGGGAGUAGGGCCAAGAGAUGAUUGGCCAUCUCCCAUAAGGCUUAAAACAGACCAGCAAUGUCGUUUGGGCUUUGCCAGAAAACAAGGUUGGUAGCUUCGUCUUCUUCUUUGUCUACGUCUUGUAUUUAUUUUUGUAUCUGUGACUUCUGAACGUUUGCCAAGAAAGGUCUUUGGCAGUUUGCCUCAUUGGACUAAGGUUUGCGAUAGGACUAAGAAAUUUGUGUUGGGAAGAAUUUGCUUUAAUUUAGUUGAAUGACGCUGGGAAUGAAGUAAUUCUCAGGUGUUCGAAUAAAGUUUGUAUGUUUUUUCACU